GCGAUACCCGAAUGGGGAAACCCAGUGUGAUUCGUCACACUAUCAUUAACUGAAUCCAUAGGUUAAUGAGGCGAACCGGGGGAACUGAAACAUCUAAGUACCCCGAGGAAAAGAAAUCAACCGAGAUUCCCCCAGUAGCGGCGAGCGAACGGGGAGGAGCCCAGAGCCUGAAUCAGCAUGUGUGUUAGUGGAAGCGUCUGGAAAGGCGCGCGAUACAGGGUGACAGCCCCGUACACAAAAGCGCAUGUGCUGUGAGCUCGAUGAGUAGGGCGGGACACGUGGUAUCCUGUCUGAAUAUGGGGGGACCAUCCUCCAAGGCUAAAUACUCCUGACUGACCGAUAGUGAACCAGUACCGUGAGGGAAAGGCGAAAAGAACCCCGGCGAGGGGAGUGAAAAAGAACCUGAAACCGUGUACGUACAAGCAGUGGGAGCACAGGUUUACCUGUGUGACUGCGUACCUUUUGUAUAAUGGGUCAGCGACUUAUAUUCUGUAGCAAGGUUAACCGAAUAGGGGAGCCGGAGGGAAACCGAGUCUUAAUUGGGCGUUAAGUUGCAGGGUAUAGACCCGAAACCCGGUGAUCUAGCCAUGGGCAGGUUGAAGGUUGGGUAACACUAACUGGAGGACCGAACCGACUAAUGUUGAAAAAUUAGCGGAUGACCUGUGGCUGGGGGUGAAAGGCCAAUCAAACCGGGAGAUAGCUGGUUCUCCCCGAAAGCUAUUUAGGUAGCGCCUCGUGAAUUCAUCUCCGGGGGUAGAGCACUGUUUCGGCUAGGGGGCCAUCCCGGCUUACCAACCCGAUGCAAACUGCGAAUACCGGAGAAUGUUAUCACGGGAGACACACGGCGGGUGCUAACGUCCGUCGUGAAGAGGGAAACAACCCAGACCGCCAGCUAAGGUCCCAAAGUCAUGGUUAAGUGGGAAACGAUGUGGGAAGGCCCAGACAGCCAGGAUGUUGGCUUAGAAGCAGCCAUCAUUUAAAGAAAGCGUAAUAGCUCACUGGUCGAGUCGGCCUGCGCGGAAGAUGUAACGGGGCUAAACCAUGCACCGAAGCUGCGGCAGCGACGCUUAUGCGUUGUUGGGUAGGGGAGCGUUCUGUAAGCCUGUGAAGGUGUGUCGUGAGGCAUGCUGGAGGUAUCAGAAGUGCGAAUGCUGACAUAAGUAACGAUAAAGCGGGUGAAAAGCCCGCUCGCCGGAAGACCAAGGGUUCCUGUCCAACGUUAAUCGGGGCAGGGUGAGUCGACCCCUAAGGCGAGGCCGAAAGGCGUAGUCGAUGGGAAACGGGUUAAUAUUCCCGUACUUGGUGUUACUGCGAAGGGGGGACGGAGAAGGCUAUGUUGGCCGGGCGACGGUUGUCCCGGUUUAAGCGUGUAGGUGUGUGUUCCAGGUAAAUCCGGUUCACUUUAACACUGAGGCGUGAUGACGAGGCACUACGGUGCUGAAGUAACAAAUGCCCUGCUUCCAGGAAAAGCCUCUAAGCAUCAGGUAACAUCAAAUCGUACCCCAAACCGACACAGGUGGUCAGGUAGAGAAUACCAAGGCGCUUGAGAGAACUCGGGUGAAGGAACUAGGCAAAAUGGUGCCGUAACUUCGGGAGAAGGCACGCUGACACGUAGGUGAAGUGAUUUACUCAUGGAGCUGAAGUCAGUCGAAGAUACCAGCUGGCUGCAACUGUUUAUUAAAAACACAGCACUGUGCAAACACGAAAGUGGACGUAUACGGUGUGACGCCUGCCCGGUGCCGGAAGGUUAAUUGAUGGGGUCAGCGCAAGCGAAGCUCCUGAUCGAAGCCCCGGUAAACGGCGGCCGUAACUAUAACGGUCCUAAGGUAGCGAAAUUCCUUGUCGGGUAAGUUCCGACCUGCACGAAUGGCGUAAUGAUGGCCAGGCUGUCUCCACCCGAGACUCAGUGAAAUUGAACUCGCUGUGAAGAUGCAGUGUACCCGCGGCAAGACGGAAAGACCCCGUGAACCUUUACUAUAGCUUGACACUGAACAUUGAGCCUUGAUGUGUAG
rnacentral:rRNA from 1 species